rnacentral:misc_RNA from 1 species
GAUGAAGAACGUAGCGAAAUGCGAUAAGUAAUGUGAAUUGCAGAAUUCAGUGAAUCAUCGAAUCUUUGAACGCACAUUGCGCCGCCUGGUAUUCCGGGGGGCAUGCCUGUUCGAGCGUCAUUUCACCACUCAAGCCUCGCUUGGUAUUGGGCAACGCGGUCCGCCGCGUGCCUCAAAUCGUCCGGCUGGGUCUUCUGUCCCCUAAGCGUUGUGGAAACUAUUCGCUAAAGGGUGUUCGGGAGGCUACGCCGUAAAACAACCCCAUUUCUAAGGUUGACCUCGGAUCAGGUAGGGAUACCCGCUGAACUUAAGCAUAUCAAUAAGCGGAGGA